UUUCCUCCUGUCAUUUCUCGAUCUAAAGGUAUUUCACCCUUCUCUCUCUUUUCCCACUCUUCCUCAAUCCAUUUUUAGCAGCAGCUACUUCUUCCUCAUCUAUCACUUCUCCGAUUUGCUUUCUUUCUCAUCUUCAUUGUGUUUUGAAGUCACUGAUGAAGUAUUCGAUUCAAUUUUGCGCUUUUGCAGGCUCAACACUCUGUUGUAAACUACUUA
rnacentral:misc_RNA from 1 species